rnacentral:lncRNA from 1 species
AUGUCCUGGUUGUGUCCCUUUGUCACCACUCCUCCUGGUGUCCCUUUGUCCUGGUUGUGUCCCUUUGUCACCACUCCUCCUGGUGUCCCUUUGUCCUGGUUGUUCCUUUGUCACCACUCCUCCUGGUGUCCCUUUGUCCUGGUUGUUCUUUUGUCACCAUUCCUCCUGCUGUCCCUUUGUCACCACCUCUCCUGGUGUCCCUUUCUCCCGCUGUGUCCCUUUGUCACCACUCCUCCUGGUUGUUCCUUUAUCACCACUCCUGCUGUCCCUUUGUCACUGUUCCUGCCGUCCCUUUGUCACCACACCUCCAGCUGUCCCUUUCUCCCACUGUGUCCUUUUGUCACCACUCCUCUCGGUUGUUCCUUUAUCACCACUCCUGGUGUCCCUUUGUCACCGCAUCUCCUGCCGUCCCUUUGUCCCGGUCGUCCCUUUGUCACCACACCUCCCAGCUGUCCCCUCUCACAGCACAAAGAAGUCGGAUCCACCGUGAUGGUGCAGGCUGCUGGUCCACACCUCCUCCUCCCUCCCAGCGCCGCGCAGCAUUCCCUGCAGCUCCUCCUGCAGCGCAGCCACGCAGCCCUCGGGGACGUCACCGUCACCGCUGUCACAGCAAUCCGUGGGGUAGGGGUGGACGACGAGGCGAAGGGAGGACAGGGGGUGGGUCCCCUCCAGCAGAACCUUCAGCCCCGUGGAGGACAGGUGGUUGCCGAAGAGGCCGAGGUAGGAGAGGAGGACGCAGAGCCUCAGAGGUGGCAGCAGGACGGGGAGGUGGGCGUCCCCGAGGUGGCACUCGGCCACGUCCAAAUGGCGGAGAGAGGAGGAGACGGCUGGGAGGAGGUGGAGGAAGUGGGCGCCCCCGAGGUGGCACUCGGCCACGUCCAAAUGGCGGAGAGAGGAGGAGACGGCUGGGAGGAGAUGGAGGAAGGGAGGGAGGAGGGAGGAGGAGAGGUCGUUGCCGCUCAGGUCAAGCUUCUUCAGGGCCGAGGCGUGAGGGCUGUGGGCCAGGAAGGUGAGGUCGCAGGGCUGGAGGUGGCAGAAGGGAAGCUCCAGGCUCUCCAGCGGGCGCUGCAGGGACCUGAGAUGGGUGGGGAGAAGCUGGGGGUCAAGGGAUGUGUCUUCUAUGGAGCCCCAAGAAACAAAAGCACAAAUUACCCGAAUAAAACCCAUAACCCGCGUCUCCAUGGCCAGCUGGUUGAGUUGGGAUCACCAAAACCCAUAACUCCAUAA